rnacentral:rRNA from 2 species
GGAUGAACGCUGGCGGCGUGCUUAACACAUGCAAGUCGAACGAUGAAGCCCAGCUUGCUGGGUGGAUUAGUGGCGAACGGGUGAGUAACACGUGAGUAACCUGCCCUUAACUCUGGGAUAAGCCUGGGAAACUGGGUCUAAUACCGGAUAGGAGCGUCCACCGCAUGGUGGGUGUUGGAAAGAUUUAUCGGUUUUGGAUGGACUCGCGGCCUAUCAGCUUGUUGGUGAGGUAAUGGCUCACCAAGGCGACGACGGGUAGCCGGCCUGAGAGGGUGACCGGCCACACUGGGACUGAGACACGGCCCAGACUCCUACGGGAGGCAGCAGUGGGGAAUAUUGCACAAUGGGCGCAAGCCUGAUGCAGCGACGCCGCGUGAGGGAUGACGGCCUUCGGGUUGUAAACCUCUUUCAGUAGGGAAGAAGCGAAAGUGACGGUACCUGCAGAAGAAGCACCGGCUAACUAC